rnacentral:lncRNA from 1 species
GAAGUAGGACAGUUUUUAAGCAAGGGUGCUUUGCUACUCUAAGUAAAAGCAGAGUUCUAGUGGAGAAAACAAUACACUUGAUACAAGACAGACAUUGACAGUCUGCAUGCUCUAUCUCCUGAAUAUGUCUUGUUUUGAAAUGAAAUACCCUACUUUAGCAGUAUGAGCUGGUAGGCAAGUGUCCAGAGAACAGGGCCCUGCACCUGCAGGAGAGGUCCAGUUUAGGCAAUGUUCCAUUACUGCAGCUUGGAACAGGCACUUACCCAGCACAAUGGGUUCAAUGGGUGAGGUGAGGCACUCCCUGGGCCUCACAACCCAAUUCUGACUACUCCCAACCUUU